GGCAAGCAGCAACGACAGCGAGCUCUAGCGUGGGCGGGAGCGG
rnacentral:SRP_RNA from 1 species